AUUGAACGCUGGCGGCAGGCCUAACACAUGCAAGUCGAACGAGGGGCGGACGGGUGAGUAAUGUUUGGGAAUCUACCCGAUGGAGGGGGAUAACUACGGGAAACUGUUGCUACUACCGCCUACUAUAGGAUGAGCUCAUGUGGGAUGAGGUAGUUGGUGUGGUAAAGGCUCACCUAGCCGACGAUCUCUAGCUGGUCUAAGAGGAUGACCAGUCACACUGGGGCUGAGACACGGCCGAGACUCCUACGGGAGGCAGCAGUGGGAAAUAUUGCGCAAUGGGGGCAACCGGAAACAGCCAUGCCGCGUGAACGAAGAGGGCCUUCGGGUUGUAAAGGAUUUUCAGUUGCGAGGCGUUACCUGCAGAAGAAGCACCGGCUAACUCCGUGCCAGCAGCCGCGGUAAUAC
rnacentral:rRNA from 1 species